AUUGAACGCUGGCGGCAUGCUUUACACAUGCAAGUCGAACGGUAACAGGUUAAGCUGACGAGUGGCGAACGGGUGAGUAAUGCAUCGGAACGUGCCCGAUCGUGGGGGAUAACACUUCGAAAGAAGUGCUAAUACCGCAUACGAUCUGAGGAUGAAAGCGGGGGACCGUAAGGCCUCGCGCGAUCGGAGCGGCCGAUGUCAGAUUAGAUAGUUGGUGGGGUAAAGGCUCACCAAGCCGACGAUCUGUAGCUGGUCUGAGAGGACGACCAGCCACACUGGGACUGAGACACGGCCCAGACUCCUACGGGAGGCAGCAGUGGGGAAUUUUGGACAAUGGGCGCAAGCCUGGUCCAGCAAUGCCGCGUGCAGGAAGAAGGCCUUCGGGUUGUAAACUGCUUUUGUACGGAGCGAAAAGGCUCUCUCUAAUACAGGGGGCUCAUGACGGUACCGUAAGAAUAAGCACCGGCUAACUACGUGCCAGCCGCCGCGGUAA
rnacentral:rRNA from 1 species